UACGUAGGUGGCAAGCGUUGUCCGGAAUUAUUGGGCGUAAAGCGCGCGCAGGCGGUCCUUUAAGUCUGAUGUGAAAUCCCGUGGCUUAACCACGGGCGGUCAUUGGAAACUGGGGGACUUGAGUGCAGAAGAGAAGAGCGGAAUUCCACGUGUAGCGGUGAAAUGCGUAGAGAUGUGGAGGAACACCAGUGGCGAAGGCGGCCUUCUGGACCAAUACUGACGCUCAUGCACGAAAGCGUGGGGAGCAAACAGG
rnacentral:rRNA from 1 species